AUACGGAGGAUGCAAGCGUUAUCCGGAUUUAUUGGGUUUAAAGGGUGCGUAGGCGGUUUGCUAAGCGGGAGGUGAAAUGCCGGCGCUCAACGUCGGAAGUGCCUCCCGAACUGGUGGACUUGAAUGACUCUGCCGUGGGAGGAAUGUGUAGUGUAGCGGUGAAAUGCUUAGAGAUUACACAGAACACCGAUUGCGAAGGCAUCUCACGAAGGGUUGAUUGACGCUGAGGCACGAAAGCGUGGGGAUCAAACAGGAUUAGAUACCCUGGUAAUCCACGCAGUAAACGAUGAUGGCUAACCGCUGGGCUUAUCAGUUCAGUGGCCAAGCGAAAGCGAUAAGCCAUCCACCUGGGGAGUACGACCGCAAGGUUGAAACUCAAAUGAAUUGACGGGG
rnacentral:rRNA from 1 species